GAAACAUCAAGGAUAUCGACCAGAUGUAUGUAGUAGUCAUUAUCAUAUUAUUAUAAUUAGCGACAAUCUUUAACUUAACAAUUAGAUAAAUCGAGUGGUAUUUUAUGGUGAAUGAAACAUAGAAGCUUUUAUAAUUACAAAGCUAUAGUAUAAUAUGAAAUUAUAGUAAUUCUACAUUCCAGUGUUUCAAAUGAUUUAAUAUUUUCUUAUACUAAUAGGAGAUACAAUUGUAAACCCUAUAAUCAAUCUUAUAAUCAUAAAUUUUUCUCAUCUUCUAUUAGUAUAAGAAAAUAUGCAAGUUAUCAACAAUGAUUAUGAUAUACUAUUUUAUUUAGGGAAAUCAUAAUAAAUCUUCUUGGCGUACAUGUGUGAAUACUAUCGAUAUAAUAGCUUUGAAUGAUGGAGAAAAUUGUGCCGAAAUGUUCACGACAGUUAAUAUAGAUGAAUUUGAAAUAACAGACGAAGUGACUGGCGUUACCAAAAAAAUUCAACAAGUAGAGUGCAUUGCAAAAUCAGGUAAAAAAAAGUGUUGUAAUCAUAGCAAUCCACUAGAUUAUUUCUACUCUUGUGAACCUAUAAUGGGAAGUAUAUGUAUAGGAAAAAAAGAAGAUCAUUGUAUUGAAUAUUUGGAUAUAAUUGUAAGUUGUGACUGUAGCUACCACUACCAUAAAACUUUAUACUAAUACUUAGAUAUUAGAAAUGAUGUGGAUAGAUUUAGAAAAGAAUAUUGUUCACUUACAUUUUACUAAUAAUCUAGUAAUUAAAUCACCUUAAUUACUAGUAAAAUAGCUUACUGUAAAAAAGUUCUAUCCUGUAAUUAUUUUAUCUUAGUAUAUAAUUAAUGGCUGUGACUAUAAAAAUAAGAACAUUUAAUAUGGUUACUUUGACUGCGUUCGAUGACAUAUGAUUUAUACGUUUGAAUAUAAUUUUUCAUGUAUUCAAAAACGGUUUAACCAAAUAAUUUUAUUUGAAAAAUGUGUACUUGUUAUUACAAGAUUUUUAGUUAUCAUUGAAUGCUUGAAUUGUAAUAUUUACAAUCUACUAUUGUAACCUAAAUAUUUAUUAAUGAAAAAUAAGUA